rnacentral:rRNA from 1 species
CCCUUAGAUGUUCUGGGCCGCACGCGCGCUACAAUGAUGCAAACAACGAGCUUAUCCUCAACCGUUAGGUUUUGGUAAUCUUGUGAAAUUGCACUUUGAUCGGGCUUGACGGUUGUAAUUAUUCGUCAUCAACGAGGAAUUCCUAGUAGACGCAAGUCAACAACUUGCAUCGAUUACGUCCCUGCCCUUUGUACACACCGCCCGUCGCUCCUACCGAUUGAAUGUUCCGGUGAACUCUCUGGAGCCAUGGAUUUGAUCGGGGAAACCCGUGCAAAACCAACUGGCAAAGUUGAGUAAACCUUAACAUUUAGAGGAAGGAGAAGUCGUAACA